CUCGCUCCGUCUGCGACCUGAGGGCAUAAUGAUAGAACUGGUGGGAGCCGGACCACACACGAGAGAAAGGCGCGAACGUCACGAGGCACUAACUGUGCAUGCAUGGUCUGGCUGACUACUGCUAUCACAACUUCUGAUCUGCGGCUCUGGGACGAGCCUGACACCUACAGUGGAGCACCCACAGGGACAUCACUUGAAGAAGAACAGGCAGAUGGGGAAAAGUGCCCUCCAUGCCACAGACAUGUAAACAGUUAAUAGCUGUGGAACUAGCAUGUCGCAGAGGCUGAUUGCAAGAGUUCUAUCUAUAGGAGACAUACGCCUAAAACAAGGGGGAGUGGCACACAAGGGACUGACACAGCACCAUAAAGUUGCAAGCAGCAGAGCAGACAUCUUAAGUACAACAUACAAGCAAAUGUAUUAGGAAGAAACAAGAUAAUCAGAUGCAUUACAACAACAUUCAAUUAUGUUUACAUGCUAAUUUACAUUAUAAGUGUUUUUUUCUGUUUUUAAUUUCUAACUAUAAAGAUCUAAUGAUAAUAGUGUAUGUAUGUAUGUAUUUGAGAGAGUUUGUGCAUGUUUGUGUAUCCAUCCAUCCAUCCAUGAGUCUG